GGUUCUAUAGUGUAGCGGUUAUCACUCCGGAUUCUGAUUUGUUGGUUUUUCCGGCAACCCCGGUUCGAUUCCGGGUAGGACCU